AUGGCUCAGGAUGAACGCUAGCGAUAGGCCUAACACAUGCAAGUCGAGGGGCAGCACAUGAGUAGCAAUACGAUGGUGGCGACCGGCGCGACGGGUGAGUAACACGUAUGCAACCUACCUUUAACAGGGGAAUAACCCGUUGAAAAACGGACUAAUACUCCAUAACACAGGGGUCCCGCAUGGGAAUAUUUGUUAAAGAUUAAUCGGUUGAAGAUGGGCAUGCGUUCCAUUAGCUUGUUGGUGAGGUAACGGCUCACCAAGGCCACGAUGGAUAGGGGAACUGAGAGGUUUAUCCCCCACACUGGAACUGAGACACGGUCCAGACUCCUACGGGAGGCAGCAGUGAGGAAUAUUGGUCAAUGGAGGCAACUCUGAACCAGCCAAGUCGCGUGAAGGAAUGAAGGUCUUAUGGAUUGUAAACUUCUUUUGCAAGGGAAUAAAGUGGGGGACGUGUCCUCCUUUGCAUGUACCUUGCGAAUAAGGAUCGGCUAACUCCGUGCCAGCAGCAGC
rnacentral:rRNA from 1 species